UCGCUUUGGGAGGAGCUCGCUUACUAUCAGCUUGUUGGUAGGGUAAUGGCCUACCAAGGCUAUGACGGUUAGGGGGUGUGAGAGCAUGACCCCCAGCAUUGGCACUGAAACACUGGCCAAACACCUACGGGUGGCUGCAGUCGAGAAUCUUCCACAAUGGGGGAAACCCUGAUGGAGCGAUGCUGCGUGCGGGAUGAAGGCCUUCGGGUUGUAAACCGCUUUUGUAGGGGACGAAAUUUUUGACGGUACCCUUUCGAAUAAGAGGUUGCUAACUCUGUGCCAGCAGCAGCGGUAAUACAGAGACCUCAAGCGUUAUCCGGAUUUACUGGGCGUAAAGCGUCUGUAGGGGGUUUAUUAAGUUCCAAGUAAAAUUUCAAGGCUCAACUUUGAAUUCGCUUGGAAAACUAAUAAACUGGAGUCUAGCAGAGGUGCAUGGAACUUGUGGUGUAGGAGUGAAAUCCGUUGAUAUCACAAGGAACACCAAAGGCGAAGGCAUUGCACUGGGCUAGCACUGACCCUGAGAGACGAAAGCGUGGGGAGCAAAACGGAUUAGAUACCCGUGUAGUCCACGCCCUAAACGAUGAAUGCUAAAUGUUCGGGGAUUCGACCCCCUGGGUGUUACAGCUAACGCGUUAAGCAUUCCGCCUGGGAAGUACGGCCGCAAGGCUAAAACUCAAAGGAAUAGACGGGGAUCCGCACAAGCGGUGGAGCGUCUGGUUUAAUUCGACAGUAAGCGUGGUACCUCACCAGGGUUUGACAUCCCUUGACAGCCUUGGAAACAAGGUUUCCUUCGGGCAAGGUGACAGGUGCUGCAUGGUCGUCGUCAGUUCGUGCCGUGAGGUGUUCCGUUAAGUCGGGAAACGAGCGAAACCCCUAUUGCAUGUUACAAUUUCUCAUGCAAGACUGCCCGGAUAUACUGGGAGGAAGGUGGGGAUGACGUCAGAUCUGCAUGGUCCUUAUACCCUGGGCGACACAGGCGCUACAAUGGCAGAGACAAAGGGUUGCAAAACCGCAAGGUGAAGCUAAUCCCAAAAACUUUGUCUAAGUUCGGAUUGAAGGCUGCAAUUCGCCUUCAUGAAGCUGGAAUCGCUAGUAAUCGUGAAUCAGCCACGUCACGGUGAAUAUGUUCCCGGAUCUUGUACUCACCGCCCGUCACACCAAGAGAGUUGGUAGCUCCCGAAGCGUCCCGUUUUAGCGGGGC
rnacentral:rRNA from 1 species